rnacentral:lncRNA from 1 species
GGAGCACUUAUUGGAUUGUGAAAACCUAGCAAACCACGAACAGACAAGCAGGGCUUUCCUAUUCUGAACCACACUGAGGUCUCCCUUAAGAAUUCACUUAUUUCCAUUUCUUCCUGUGAGUCCCACUUGACAGAGAAGAAGCUGCCCACAGACCAUUUUCCCCCUUCUUCCCCCUCCCUCUAGGAAAAUUCUGGGCAGCAUCCACCAGGUCACAGCUGCCAGCCAGAGGACUGGCUAGAGCAGAGUUUGGCCAGGUUAUCGGGUUUCGUGGUCAGCCACCUUCGCCCCUGACCAGAGCUGUCUUUCCAAAACAGAACAUUCAGUCACUGCCUGUCCCUGCGCCCAGCUGUCCUUGUGCCCCGACCUUGCUCUCUGCCCACCGGCCCAGGGUUUUUCCUCGUAUUCUUGUCUCUUACUGAUAUCUUGCAAAGAUGACCGGAGCAGAGGAAAGAAAGUCAGGGAGCAGCCUGAGAGAAACGAUGAGGAGACAGAGACAGAGAAAGAAGAGACAGAGAAAGAGGUGACAGAUGGACAGAGGAGAAAGAGGAGACAAGAAAGACAGAGAAAGAGGAGACAGAGGCGACAGACGGACAGAGAAAGACAGAGAAAGAAGAGACAGAAAGACAGAGAAAGAGGAGACAGAGAUGGAGAGACAGAGCUGGAGAGAAAGACAGAGACAGGAGGGCCCUGCAGGUGCCAUCUGCCCUCCAAAGCUGUCUCGAGGGCAGGGUUUGUAACCUUGCAUCUCCACCCAAUGCAUCUUGACCUCCCAAGGCUGCAGCAUCUUCUCCCAACAGCCCCCAUCCUGCCACCAGCCCAGCAGGUCCUAAGAGACCUCGUUUUCCUUCCCCCCUCACCUCCAUGCACAAUCCCUCACCUAACUAACUCCUCCUUAUCUCCCUUCCUCCAGGAAGCCCUCCUUGCCCCCACAGCCCCUCUAUGUACCCUGAUUACACCUCCCUCAUACUUUGUGGUUCAUUGAUAGGUUCGCCUCCUCCACUGGAAUGGCAGCUCCUCGAGGGCAGGGUCUGGAUCGGUCUGGCUCGCCCUGCAUCCCUGCACUCAGCCCAGUGCCUGACUCAUAGUAGGUGCUCAAUAAAUGUUGGUUGAAGGAAGGAUUAAGCCAGCUGCUAUGUGUCAGCUCCUUGGAGAAUCCUUCCCUGGUAUGGCUUACAACUGUUUGGACUUCAUCGUGUGAUUAUUUGAUUUAGGGUCUGCGUGGCCUCUGGUCCGAAGAAGGCAGGAUCUGAGUCUGCUGCAUUCACCCUUGUCUUCCCAGCACCUGGAACAGUGCCUGGCACAGAUGUCUAACACUGCUUGACACAUCAGUGGCACCAUGAAACAUGUGUGGAAUAAACAAACAAGGCCUUCCUACCAUCCAUCAUAUCUGCCUCUCCUCCUGGACUGGGAGCACUAUGAGGUCAAGGACCAAGCCUUAUUUAUUUCUAGCUCCUCUGAGUCUAGCACUGGACCUGGUACAAAAGAGAUGCUUGGUA